rnacentral:rRNA from 1 species
GAUGAACGCUAGCGGGAGGCCUAACACAUGCAAGCCGAGCGGUAGAGUCUCUUCGGCGACUUGAGAGCGGCGCACGGGUGCGGAACACGUGUGCAACCUGCCUUUAUCUGGGGGAUAGCCUUUCGAAAGGAAGAUUAAUACCCCAUAAUAUACUGGAUGGCAUCAUCUGGUAUUGAAAACUCCGGUGGAUAGAGAUGGGCACGCGCAAGAUUAGCUAGUUGGUGAGGUAACGGCUCACCAAGUCAGCGAUCUUUAGGGGGCCUGAGAGGGUGAUCCCCCACACUGGUACUGAGACACGGACUAGACUGCUACGGGAGGCAGCAGUGAGGAAUAUUGGACAAUGGGUGAGGGCCUGAUCCAGCCAUCCCGGGUGAAGGACGACGGCCCUAGGGGUGGUAAACUUCUUUUGUAUAGGGAUAAACCGAGAUACGUGUAUCUAGCUGAAGGUACUAUAAGAAUAAGCACCGGCUAACUCCGUG